UUUUGUGUCCCCCCCAAAAAAAAUGGCAGCUGCAGGGCCUUCAUGUUUCUCUUUAAUGUAAUACCUCUAUUAAGCAGUUUAUUUUUUUAAUAGCAAAGUUUUAUUUUAUUUUUAAAGAUUUUAUUUCUGUUUUAUAUAUUCAUGAGAGACACACGGGGAGAGAGAGAGGCAGAGACACAGGCAGAGGGAGAAGCAGGCUCCAUGCAGGGAGCCCGAUGUGGGACUCGAUCCCGGGACUCCAGGAUCACACCCCGGGCCCAAGGCAGGCAGCUUAACUGCUGAGCCACCCAGGCGUCCCUAUUAAGCAGUUUAUUGCAACUUCUUUCUUUUCCAGAGUGUUCAUGUUGGAAGGUAUACCUUGUAAACUUCCCUCUAGUAAUGAUAAAAUGGACUAGACUUGAUAAAUAUUUCUGGUAAAGAUUUUCAAAACUCCUAUUUAUCUGCUGUGCUUUUAUGUUAACGAAUUGAAACAUCAACUUUAAAACAAAAUAACUUCAGCUCCAGUGCAGAGGAAGCCAGCCAGCCACUGCGUAGUUUUGAUACCAGGAGGAUUUCAAAACCUUCCCUCUGUAGAUGAUCAGUUACACACCCACACUGGAGCAUCAACGUGAAGGUGAGGACCAGCAUGGAACUGGUUGAUGGAACUCUGCAAGUCCUUCAGACCAACUGUGGCUGAACCUUGCCUGACAGCUUCCAUUGCAUAUUCAGUUUGAUGAAGCCUGCCCUGAAGGCUCCGAACAGUGACAUCAUUGUCAUACUGGUUGCCAAACAUGGUUCCAGCACGUCUGGCUAUGGCCUCUUGCCGAGGUGCGGAUUCAGGAGCGCCUCUCCUUCAGAAAUCUUGACAUGGCUACGUAUGAAGAUGUCCCCCAAGAUAGGACACCAGCUAUAUAACACUGACCUUCUGAGCAUUGCCUGACAGCAGUGUAAACACACUGGGAAGGGCCAGAUUAAAUGGUCAUUGAUGCACGAGAAUUUUCUAGGUGAAAGAAAUGAAGAAAGAAGAGUAAUAACAUCUUGAAAGUCUUUGUAUAGUAUUUGGAGAAAAAUAGGACAGCUGAGCCUUGAACAACAGGUUUGAACUCUGUGGGUCUACUUACACGUGGAUAUAGAGAGCAAGAUGGAAUCACUCAUGUCAAGCAGUGUCUUAUGUCAAGCAGUUGUGUGAGCAGCUAAUGGCAGUGCAGCUAAGACCAGAAAGCACCAAAACCAGCACAGGGAAGACACCCAGAACUGAUGACAAGUAGAACCAGAGCAGGUUUACAAAGGCCCAAACCUGAUUAAACUCCUUUAUAGAAGGAGGAUUUUGGCAGCAAACUGUCAGACUCUCCUGACACUGACUGUUUCAGGUCUGAUC
rnacentral:lncRNA from 1 species